rnacentral:rRNA from 1 species
GGAUUAGAUACCCUGGUAGUCCACGCCCUAAACGAUGAGUACUAAACGUUGGAUAAAACCAGUGUUGAAGUUAACACAUUAAGUACUCCGCCUGAGUAGUACGUACGCAAGUAUGAAACUUAAAGGAAUUGACGGGACUCCGCACAAGCGGUGGAUCAUGUUGUUUAAUUCGAAGGUACCCGAAAAACCUCACCAGGUCUUGACAUGCUUUUGCAAAGCUGUAGAAAUACAGUGGAGGUUAUCAGAAGCACAGGUGGUGCAUGGUUGUCGUCAGCUCGUGUCGUGAGAUGUUGGGUUAAGUCCCGCAACGAGCGUAACCCUUGUUGUUAAUUGCCAUCAUUAAGUUGGGGACUUUAGCAAGACUGCCAAUGAUAAAUUGGAGGAAGGUGGGGACGACGUCAAAUCAUCAUGCCCCUUAUGACCUGGGCUACAAACGUGAUACAAUGGCUGUUACAAAGGGUAGCUAAAGCGUAAGCUUCUGGCGAAUCUCAAAAAAGCAGUCUCAGUUCGGAUUGAAGUCUGCAACUCGACUUCAUGAAGUUGGAAUCGCUAGUAAUCGCGAAUCAGCAUGUCGCGGUGAAUACGUUCUCGGGGUUUGUACACACCGCCCGUCAAACCACGAAAGUUGGCAAUACCCAAAGCCGGUGGCCUAACUUGAGCAAUCAAGAAGGAGCCGUCUAAGGUAGGGUUGAUGAUUGGGGUUAAGUCGUAACAAGGUAUCCCUACCGGAAGGUGGGGAUGGAUCACCUCCUU